rnacentral:lncRNA from 1 species
CCUGAACAAGAUAAUUCUCUAGAUUUGCCUUUAACUUUCCAACAAUACAAAUGGGAGUAGACUAUAAACUCAAAAGCAACAUGACCAAGAACACACCACCUAGUGGUUUGGGUGCACCACCACCUAGUCAUCCUGGUGCACCACCACCUAGUCAUAUGUCUAGACCUCCACCUAGACCAUAAACUAGGGGAAAGUCUAUGCCACCACCAUAUCAUCCAUUGAUGAAUCCUCGACCACUUUGUUUCUU